rnacentral:rRNA from 1 species
CCUACGGGUGGCAGCAGUGGGGAAUAUUGCACAAUGGGGGAAACCCUGAUGCAGCGACGCCGCGUGAGUGAAGAAGUAUUUCGGUAUGUAAAGCUCUAUCAGCAGGAACGAGACAAGACGGUACCUGACUAAGAAGCCCCGGCUAACUACGUGCCAGCAGCCGCGGUAAUACGUAGGGGGCAAGCGUUAUCCGGAAUCACUGGGUGGAAAGGGAGCGUAGACGGCUGAGCAAGCCUGAAGUGAAAGGCGGGGGCCCACCCCCCGGACUGCUUUGGGAACUGUACGGCUGGAGUGCAGGAGAGGUAAGUGGAAUUCCUAGUGUAGCGGUGAAAUGCGUAGAUAUUAGGAGGAACACCAGUGGCGAAGGCGGCUUACUGGACUGUAACUGACGUUGAGGCUCGAAAGCGUGGGGAGCAAACAGGAUUAGAUACCCCUGUAGUC